UGGGGAAUUGUUCGCAAUGGGCGCAAGCCUGACGACGCAACGCCGCGUGGAGGAUGAAGGUCUUCGGAUUGUAAACUCCUGUUGAUCGGGACGAAAAGCUUCAACCUAAUACGUUGAAGACUGACGGUACCGGUUGAGGAAGCCACGGCUAACUCUGUGCCAGCAGCCGCGGUAAUACAGAGGUGGCAAGCGUUGUUCGGAAUUACUGGGCGUAAAGGGCGCGUAGGCGGCCUCCUAAGUCGGACGUGAAAGCCCCAGGCUUAACCUGGGAACUGCGUCUGAUACUGGGAGGCUUGGAUUCGGGAGAGGGAUGUGGAAUUCCAGGUGUAGCGGUGAAAUGCGUAGAUAUCUGGAGGAACACCGGUGGCGAAGGCGGCAUCCUGGACCGAGAUCGACGCUGAGGCGCGAAAGCUAGGGGAGCAAACGGGAUUAGAUACCCAGGUAGUCCCUGAGCGGGCUGGCAAGGCGCAU
rnacentral:rRNA from 1 species